rnacentral:rRNA from 1 species
UGCCAGCAGCCGCGGUAAUACAGAGGGUGCGAACGUUGCUCGGAAUUACUGGGCGUAAAGCGCGUGUAGGCGGAAACGCAAGUUGGUUGUGAAAUCCCCGGGCUUAACCCGGGAACUGCAUCCAAAACUGCGUUUCUAGAGUGAUGGAGAGGAGAGCGGAAUUCCUGGUGUAGAGGUGAAAUUCGUAGAUAUCAGGAGGAACACCGGUGGCGAAGGCGGCUCUCUGGCCAUAUACUGACGCUGAGACGCGAAAGCAUGGGUAGCGAACAGGAUUAGAUA